rnacentral:tRNA from 1 species
GCCUAUAGCUCAGCUGGUUAGAGCGCACGCCUGAUAAGCGUGAGGUCGCAGGUUCGAGUCCUGCCUGUGGA